GAUGAACGCUGGCGGCGUGCCUAAUACACGCAAGUCGAGCGAAUGGAUUAAGAGCUUGCACUUAUGAAGUUAGCGGCGGACGGGUGAGUAACACGUGGGUAACCUGCCCAUAAGACUGGGAUAACUCCGGGAAACCGGGGCUAAUACCGGAUAAUAUUUUGAACUGCAUGGUUCAAACUUGAACGGCGGCUUCGGCUGGCACUUAUGGAUGGACCCGCGUCGCAUUAGCUCGGUGGUGAGGUAACGGCUCACCAAGGCAACGAUGCGUAGCCGACCUGAGAGGGUGAUCGGCCACACUGGGACUGAGACACGGCCCAGACUCCUACGGGAGGCAGCAGUAGGGAAUCUUCCGCAAUGGACGAAAGUCUGACGGAGCAACGCCGCGUGAGUGAUGAAGGCUUUCGGGUCGUAAAACUCUGUUGUUAGGGAAGAACAAGUGCUAGUUGAAUAAGCUGGCACCUUGACGGUACCUAACCAGAAAGCCACGGCUAACUACGUGCCAGCCGCCGCAGUAA
rnacentral:rRNA from 1 species